CCUACGGGAGGCAGCAGUGAGGAAUAUUGGUCAAUGGACGGAAGUCUGAACCAGCCAUGCCGCGUGCAGGAAGACGGCUCUAUGAGUUGUAAACUGCUUUUGUAGAAGGGUAAACCUGAAUACGUGUAUGCAGCUGAAAGUACUGUACGAAUAAGGACCGGCUAAUGCCGUGCCAGCAGCCGCGGUCAUACGGAAGGUCCGGGCGUUAUCCGGAUUUAUUGGGGUUAAAGGGAGCGUAGGCCGGUCUUUAAGGGUGCCGUGAAAUUUUGUGGCUCAACCAUGAGAGUGCGGCGCGAACUGGAGACCUUGAGUGCGCGGCAGGCAGGCGGAAUUCGUGGUGUAGCGGUGAAAUGCUUAGAUAUCACGAAGAACCCCGAUUGCGAAGGCAGCCUGCCGCAGCGUUCCUGACGCUGAAGCUCGAAAGCGCGGGUAUCGAACAGGAUUAGAUACCCGUGUAGUC
rnacentral:rRNA from 1 species